ensembl:lncRNA
UGGGGAAAUCCACCCAAUGACUGAGGUCUUGGGGAAAUCCACCCAAUGACUGAGGUCUUGGGGAAAUCCACCCAAUGACUGAGGUCUUGGGAAAAUCCACCCAUUCAUUCAGAUGAUCAUUAAUAUGUGAUACUGAUUGAUUUGUUGAAUGCUGAUAUUGCUGGCCAGUAUUAGGGCUGUAGCUUCCAUCCAUUUUGAUUUUGUUUACAGUGCUACAGUAUAUUUAGUUUGAACAUUUGUUGGAGGAAAUUAUAGUUGAAAUGAUUAAUUAUGUAUACAUUUCUUUAAGAACCAUUUAUUUUAAUACUAUUAUGUUAUGGUAUGAAAUGUAUGGGUUCUUGGUUAAGCUGUUACUGAAAAUGUAAGUAAAACAAAUUAAUUGUCUGUACCUUUCGGGUUUAAGGGAGAAAGGAGGGCAUAUAUCUUUUCAGACAGAUAAGAAUGUUUGUUUGAUGUUCCAUUAGUGGAGAAAAGUAUAUCUUUUAGACAGAUUGGAAUGUUUGUUUUAUGAGGGGAGUAGAAGACAUGUCCAGACCUGAAGACACUGCGCUAUUGUGGGGAUCGGAGAGAGUGUGUGAAACUGAUGACGUCAUUUUAUGUUCUCUCUAAAAUCAAAUGCUCUUUGUAUUUUGGGUCAGUACUCACUUGAAUUAAUCGCUAUUACCUGACUUUUAAGACUGGUCUCGAUCUAUUUCAUGCAUAAUUAAUACAUUUACAACUUAUUAAUGAAAUAGAGAGAGUGCGAAUUUGGUUUUGGCUACAAAACAUAUAGGAAUUUAGAAUUCCUCUAACAACAUUCAAAUAAGUUUUAACCAAAACUAGUUUCUGGUUACAUUCAGCUGUUUAAACACACAGACAGAAGUGAUAACAGUGAGCUGGUAAGGAAAGUUGUUGUUGGUUAAGAGGAUGUUUUGAACAGGAAAUCGUUUGAGUAAUAUUUUUGAUGUUUUUUAGAAGAGAUUCUGGAAUGCAAAGCAUCAAGAGAGCUCACUGAGUUUUUUAUGUAUUGUAAAGUUCAUCGGUAUAUUUUGCUUGUUAUUUAUUGUUCAAGUCAAUAAAACAAUCUUAUGUUUUAAAAUAGUU